AAUCCGCUAAAGGCCUACGCGUCGUUGUGUUCGGUACGACGGUAUUAUGCAGAGAAAGAAAGAAAUGAAAAAAAUUAAAAUACCGAAAAAAAAUUCAUGGAUCCUUAUGGUCAGCGUAUUAUAUUGUUAUACGAUACGUCCCGAAUGCACGACCGCAUUCAGCAUAUGAUUUAUAAUAUAUGUAUGUGUGUGAUGCGUCAAAAUUAUAAUUUGGACGGACGUCGUCGCCGCCACAUACGCCACCGCCGAUCACGACUACCGCGACAACUGAGAUGUGUUGUCUCACGACCAAUAUAAUAUAAUAUUGGAUUAUUGUCAUCGUAAUUUCACCGGACGACCAAACACGAACCAGAUUUUAUUUUUAAUAUUAUUUUGAUAAAUUUUGACCUCGUGCAUGGCCAUCUUCUUAUGCCGGAAUUCGUGCUUAUAACGUCUACGACGACUACCAUCACGAACUAUACAAUUCCCUUAAACGACUAUGUGUAUGAGAAGAUAGAUGGGGUUUGUUGUCAACGUUUUCUUCUUUUUUUUUUGAUUUAAUGCACGCACAUACAAAUCACACGUGAGCAAGUAUUUGAACACCGAAAAUAGUCGCGUCGUUAUUUCUUACAAUACUAUAUACUGCACCUCAGUCGCAUAGGUCCCAAGUGCGUACAUAAUGUUAUAUACGAUAAGCGCUUGUACGCGUAAUAAAUACGAACGCAUAUUAUAUGUAAUUGCACAGCGGGCGUGAGCGAUAAAUAACAGUUUUUGUUCUU